rnacentral:rRNA from 1 species
AGAGGAAGGUCCGGCACAUUGGAACUGAGACACGGUCCAAACUCCUACGGGAGGCAGCAAUGAGGAAUAUUGGUCAAUGGGCGGAAGCCUGAACCAGCCAAGUAGCGUGAAGGAGACUGCCCUAUGAGUUGUAAACUUCAUUUAUAAGGGAAUAAUUGCGGGUACGCGUACCCGUUUGCAUGUACCUUAUGAAUAAGGAUCG